rnacentral:rRNA from 1 species
UCCGUAGGCGGAUUGAUAAGUCAGAGGUGAAAUCCCACAGCUUAACUGUGGAACUGCCUUUGAUACUGUUAGUCUUGAGUUAUAUGGAAGUAGAUAGAAUGUGUAGUGUAGCGGUGAAAUGCAUAGAGAUUACACAGAAUACCGAUUGCGAAGGCAGUCUACUACGUAUAUACUGACGCUAAUGGACGAAAGCGUGGGGAGCGAACA